AAUCAUUCUAGAUAGCAUGCAUGUCUAAGUAUAAACGAAUUUAAACAGUGAGACUGCGGAUGGCUCAUUAAACCAGUAAUAAUUUAUUUGAUGGUCAGUGAACUACUUGGAUAACCGUAGUAAUUCUAGAGCUAAUACAUGCAUAAAAUCCCGACUAACCGCCCUCGGGGGGCUGGGAAGGGAUGUGUUUAUUAGAUAAAAAGCCAAUGCAGGGCAUACCAAACUGUCGGAACGGGGAAAUCGGGUCUGCGGACCGGAGGGCCCGGUUGCGAUGGGCCCUGGAGUGUGGUGAUUCAUAAUAAACUUCGAAUCGCAUAGAAAGCUUCGGCUUGGCGAUGGUUCAUUCAAAUUUCUGCCCUAUCAAGUUUUUAGUUGUAUAGAGGACAACUAAGCUAGUAACGGGUAACGGGUUCUAGGGGGAAGACACCGGAGAGGUUUCCAGAGUAAAGGAAACUACUUCUAAGGAAGGCAGCAGGCGCGCAAAUUACCCAAUACCAAAACGGUGAGGUAGUGACGAUAUAUAACAAUACAGAAUAGUAAAUUAUUUUGUAAUUGGAAUGAGUACAAUUUAAACCCCUUAACGAGUAACAAUUGGAGGGAAA
rnacentral:rRNA from 1 species